UUAAGCGACUAAGCGUACACGGUGGAUGCCCUGGCAGUCAGAGGCGAUGAAGGACGUGCUAAUCUGCGAUAAGCGUCGGUAAGGUGAUAUGAACCGUUAUAACCGGCGAUUUCCGAAUGGGGAAACCCAGUGUGUUUCGACACACUAUCAUUAACUGAAUCCAUAGGUUAAUGAGGCGAACCGGGGGAACUGAAACAUCUAAGUACCCCGAGGAAAAGAAAUCAACCGAGAUUCCCCCAGUAGCGGCGAGCGAACGGGGAGCAGCCCAGAGCCUGAAUCAGUGUGUGUUAGUGGAAGCGUCUGGAAAGGCGCGCGAUACAGGGUGACAGCCCCGUACACAAAAAUGCACAUGCUGUGAGCUCGAUGAGUAGGGCGGGACACGUGGUAUCCUGUCUGAAUAUGGGGGGACCAUCCUCCAAGGCUAAAUACUCCUGACUGACCGAUAGUGAACCAGUACCGUGAGGGAAAGGCGAAAAGAACCCCGGCGAGGGGAGUGAAAAAGAACCUGAAACCGUGUACGUACAAGCAGUGGGAGCACGCUUAGGCGUGUGACUGCGUACCUUUUGUAUAAUGGGUCAGCGACUUAUAUUCUGUAGCAAGGUUAACCGAAUAGGGGAGCCGAAGGGAAACCGAGUCUUAACUGGGCGUUAAGUUGCAGGGUAUAGACCCGAAACCCGGUGAUCUAGCCAUGGGCAGGUUGAAGGUUGGGUAACACUAACUGGAGGACCGAACCGACUAAUGUUGAAAAAUUAGCGGAUGACUUGUGGCUGGGGGUGAAAGGCCAAUCAAACCGGGAGAUAGCUGGUUCUCCCCGAAAGCUAUUUAGGUAGCGCCUCGUGAAUUCAUCUCCGGGGGUAGAGCACUGUUUCGGCAAGGGGGUCAUCCCGACUUACCAACCCGAUGCAAACUGCGAAUACCGGAGAAUGUUAUCACGGGAGACACACGGCGGGUGCUAACGUCCGUCGUGAAGAGGGAAACAACCCAGACCGCCAGCUAAGGUCCCAAAGUCAUGGUUAAGUGGGAAACGAUGUGGGAAGGCCCAGACAGCCAGGAUGUUGGCUUAGAAGCAGCCAUCAUUUAAAGAAAGCGUAAUAGCUCACUGGUCGAGUCGGCCUGCGCGGAAGAUGUAACGGGGCUAAACCAUGCACCGAAGCUGCGGCAGCGACGCUUAUGCGUUGUUGGGUAGGGGAGCGUUCUGUAAGCCUGCGAAGGUGUGCUGUGAGGCAUGCUGGAGGUAUCAGAAGUGCGAAUGCUGACAUAAGUAACGAUAAAGCGGGUGAAAAGCCCGCUCGCCGGAAGACCAAGGGUUCCUGUCCAACGUUAAUCGGGGCAGGGUGAGUCGACCCCUAAGGCGAGGCCGAAAGGCGUAGUCGAUGGGAAACAGGUUAAUAUUCCUGUACUUGGUGUUACUGCGAAGGGGGGACGGAGAAGGCUAUGUUGGCCGGGCGACGGUUGUCCCGGUUUAAGCGUGUAGGCUGGUUUUCCAGGCAAAUCCGGAAAAUCAAGGCUGAGGCGUGAUGACGAGGCACUACGGUGCUGAAGCAACAAAUGCCCUGCUUCCAGGAAAAGCCUCUAAGCAUCAGGUAACAUCAAAUCGUACCCCAAACCGACACAGGUGGUCAGGUAGAGAAUACCAAGGCGCUUGAGAGAACUCGGGUGAAGGAACUAGGCAAAAUGGUGCCGUAACUUCGGGAGAAGGCACGCUGAUAUGUAGGUGAAGUCCCUCGCGGAUGGAGCUGAAAUCAGUCGAAGAUACCAGCUGGCUGCAACUGUUUAUUAAAAACACAGCACUGUGCAAACACGAAAGUGGACGUAUACGGUGUGACGCCUGCCCGGUGCCGGAAGGUUAAUUGAUGGGGUCAGCGCAAGCGAAGCUCUUGAUCGAAGCCCCGGUAAACGGCGGCCGUAACUAUAACGGUCCUAAGGUAGCGAAAUUCCUUGUCGGGUAAGUUCCGACCUGCACGAAUGGCGUAAUGAUGGCCAGGCUGUCUCCACCCGAGACUCAGUGAAAUUGAACUCGCUGUGAAGAUGCAGUGUACCCGCGGCAAGACGGAAAGACCCCGUGAACCUUUACUAUAGCUUGACACUGAACAUUGAGCCUUGAUGUGUAGGAUAGGUGGGAGGCUUUGAAGUGUGGACGCCAGUCUGCAUGGAGCCGACCUUGAAAUACCACCCUUUAAUGUUUGAUGUUCUAACGUUGACCCGUGAUCCGGGUUGCGGACAGUGUCUGGUGGGUAGUUUGACUGGGGCGGUCUCCUCCUAAAGAGUAACGGAGGAGCACGAAGGUUGGCUAAUCCUGGUCGGACAUCAGGAGGUUAGUGCAAUGGCAUAAGCCAGCUUGACUGCGAGCGUGACGGCGCGAGCAGGUGCGAAAGCAGGUCAUAGUGAUCCGGUGGUUCUGAAUGGAAGGGCCAUCGCUCAACGGAUAAAAGGUACUCCGGGGAUAACAGGCUGAUACCGCCCAAGAGUUCAUAUCGACGGCGGUGUUUGGCACCUCGAUGUCGGCUCAUCACAUCCUGGGGCUGAAGUAGGUCCCAAGGGUAUGGCUGUUCGCCAUUUAAAGUGGUACGCGAGCUGGGUUUAGAACGUCGUGAGACAGUUCGGUCCCUAUCUGCCGUGGGCGCUGGAGAACUGAGGGGGGCUGCUCCUAGUACGAGAGGACCGGAGUGGACGCAUCACUGGUGUUCGGGUUGUCAUGCCAAUGGCACUGCCCGGUAGCUAAAUGCGGAAGAGAUAAGUGCUGAAAGCAUCUAAGCACGAAACUUGCCCCGAGAUGAGUUCUCCCUGACUCCUUGAGAGUCCUGAAGGAACGUUGAAGACGACGACGUUGAUAGGCCGGGUGUGUAAGCGCAGCGAUGCGUUGAGCUAACCGGUACUAAUGAACCGUGAGGCUUAACCU
rnacentral:rRNA from 1 species